GAUGAACGCUGGCGGCGUGCCUAAUACAUGCAAGUCGAGCGAACAGACGAGGAGCUUGCUCCUCUGACGUUAGCGGCGGACGGGUGAGUAACACGUGGAUAACCUACCUAUAAGACUGGGAUAACUUCGGGAAACCGGAGCUAAUACCGGAUAAUAUAUUGAACCGCAUGGUUCAAUAGUGAAAGACGGUUUUGCUGUCACUUAUAGAUGGAUCCGCGCCGCAUUAGCUAGUUGGUAAGGUAACGGCUUACCAAGGCAACGAUGCGUAGCCGACCUGAGAGAGUGAUCGGCCACACUGGAACUGAGACACGGUCCAGACUCCUACGGGAGGCAGCAGUAGGGAAUCUUCCGCAAUGGGCGUAAGCCUGACGGAGCAACGCCGCGUGAGUGAUGAAGGUCUUCGGAUCGUAAUACUCUGUUCUUAGGGAAGAACAACUGUCUCAGUAACUAUGCACGUCUUGACGGUACCUUAUCAGAAAGCCACGGCUAACUACGUG
rnacentral:rRNA from 1 species